UCAUAUCCAAUAAGACUCGAGCAAGUGCUUGUGAGCUUGUGUGAAAUAAAAGAAGUCUGAAAGCUAGCCCCAUCGCAUCUGAGUGAUCAAUGCUUUAUAAAAACACAAGGGAAUUUUAGUAAAAUAGUAUGGAUAAAUAACACACACAAAAAAAAGUGUUUUAAAAGCAUCUAUUUCUAUAAAAAAACAUAAAAAAAAAAUUGGAUCCUAGCAAGAUGAAUCACGAAUUGUUAGAAUGAUUUC
rnacentral:lncRNA from 1 species